rnacentral:rRNA from 1 species
GACGAACGCUGGCGGCGUGCUUAACACAUGCAAGUCGAACGACGUGGCGAGCGGGUGUGUAAUACGUGUGUAUCCCCCCCUCCUUUUUGGGAUAAGCCUUAGAAACGGGGUCUAAUACCGCAUAUGGGGGGCGGGGUUCGCGGCCUGUCAGCUUGUUGGUGGGUGGAUGGGCUACCAAGGCGGUGACGGGUGGCGGGGCGGAGAGGGUGCCCGGCGACGUGGGGACUGAGAUACGGCCCAGAGUCCGACGGAGUGCAGCAGUGGGGGAUAUUGUGCAAAGGGUGAAAGCGUGAGGCAGCGACGCCGCGUGGGGGAUGAAGGCUGUCAGGUUGUAAACCUCUUUCGCUACCGAACGGGUAGGUGGAGAAGAAGCGCCGGCUAACUACGUGCCAGCAGCCGCGGUAAUAC